GAUGAACGCUGGCGGCGUGCUUAACACAUGCAAGUCGAACGAAGCACCUUGAUUUGAUUCUUCGGAUGAAGAUCUUGGUGACUGAGUGGCGGACGGGUGAGUAACGCGUGGGUAACCUGCCUCAUACAGGGGGAUAACAGUUAGAAAUGACUGCUAAUACCGCAUAAGACCACAGCACCGCAUGGUGCCGGGGUAAAAACUCCGGUGGUAUGAGAUGGACCCGCGUCUGAUUAGGUAGUUGGUGGGGUAACGGCCUACCAAGCCGACGAUCAGUAGCCGAACUGAGAGGGUGACCGGCCACAGUGGGACUGAGACACGGCCCAAACUCCUACGGGAGGCAGCAGUGGGGAAUAUUGCACAAUGGGGGAAACCCUGAUGCAGCGACGCCGCGUGAGCGAUGAAGUAUUUCGGUAUGUAAAGCUCUAUCAGCAGGGAAGAAAAUGACGGUACCGGACGAAGAAGCACCGGCUAAAUACGUG
rnacentral:rRNA from 1 species